rnacentral:pre_miRNA from 1 species
AGAUUUUUGAAUCCAUGCUGAGAUUUUGUCAGACCACAACCCAUUAAAGUUGAUCAGACUUCAGAGAUAAGUGAAGUU